AUCGGUAGCAAAAAUAACAAGAACAAAAACUGUCAGGCAGGCAUUGACCGAAAAUUAUGCAUAAAAUUGCCUCGGGCAUCGGGAAAAAUAACAACAGAAAAAUUGGAGCAAACAAAGAUAAGUUCCGCCGUCUGUUGGUUUGGGCUCGCCUUGAGUUCCAGCUCCGGAUCCGGAUACGCCAGUGGUGACCCGACCCACUCCGUCUCACCCACGAUUGGCCGCGGGCACAUUAAAUGACGGAAGUAAAUAAGCUUGACAAAUUUCCACUCAUCAUUUUUGCAUUAAUUCUGCCUCCUUUUUUUGGACCGAACCGACAAACCAACAGCCAAGAGACACGGGAACUGCACAAAAAAAUGUCCUUUGAUUAAUCAAAAAAUUUACCACUGCCCCUGGAAUGGGAUGAGGCAACAAAAACAACAACGACAGCAGCAGGCAAAGGCGGCCAAAAGGAAAAACAAGAAGCAAACCCAACAAAUUGCCAAAGAGGCGCCGCCGGUGCUCGGAGGGAUUUUUUGAGUCCAGGACUAGGCGCCAAAGCAAAAGACCCACUCCUGGAACGGAAAACUCGGAGCAGUUGCUCAGCAAUCUGCACUGAGAAAAUAGCAUGUUGUCGUAUUUACCACGUACUACUUGAUAAUCAGUACACUUUUUUUGAUUAUAAUCUUUGUACCAUUUAUUUUAGUACAAUCAAAUAUAAUAAAGUAUGCAUUGAGAAAU
ensembl:ncRNA lncRNA:CR46238 long non-coding RNA:CR46238